rnacentral:rRNA from 1 species
GACGUAGGGGGCAAGCGUUGUCCGGAUUUAUUGGGCGUAAAGAGCUCGUAGGCGGCUCAGAAAGUCGGGUGUGAAACCUCCAGGCUCAACCUGGAGACGCCACCUGAUACUGCUGUGGCUAGAGUCCGGUAGGGGAGCACGGAAUUCCCGGUGUAGCGGUGAAAUGCGCAGAUAUCGGGAGGAACACCAAUGGCGAAGGCAGCUCGCUGGGACGGUACUGACGCUGAGACGCGAAAGCGUGGGGAGCAAACAGG